AAACCCUGACCUUUGUGUGCACGAGUGUUGCGAGCUAAGUAUUAUCCAAAUGGCGAUAUUUUGAAGGCAGGACCAAAAAAGGGUUCAUCAUUUCCAUGGCAAAGCAUUGUAGCAGGUAUCCAAACAUUCAAGAGAGGGUGCAUUUGGCGUGUUGGGUCAGGCUCACAUAUUAAUAUCUGGGAGGAUCCUUGGAUUCCAUCUAGUCAGUCAAGGAAAAUUAUUACCCCCCGAGGAGAAACAAUGCUAUCCAAAGUUGAGGACUUGAUCGACCCACACACGGGCCAGGGGGAUGAAGUGCUCCUUCGAGACAUUUUCCUACCGGUUGAUGUGAACAGAAUCCUACAAAUCCCCUUGCAUGUUGAAGCUGUAGAAGAUUUUGUUGCAUGGCAGUUUACAAGGUCUGGUACUUUUUCGGUUCGGUCUGCCUAUCAUGCUGAGUUUAACCACCAGUUCGGACGGCACUUUGCUCUAUCAGAUGGUCCUGGAAGGUGUCAAAUGAACCCGGUUUGGAAGGAAUUGUGGAAUUUACGGGUUCCUGGUAAGAUAAAGCAUUUUGGAUGGAAGGUACUUAAGGGGGUUCUACCCUGUUUUGGUGUUCUAUCAGGCCGACAUAUCCCCCUAGUACCCUAG
rnacentral:rRNA from 1 species